GGCUAUGGCGGGCGGGGCGUGGGGGUCCUGUACCCGCCGGUUCCCAACAUCCGGUUUUCGAGCCACGCUCUGCCCGCCACCUUU
rnacentral:antisense_RNA from 10 species